CUGAAUAGGCAAAGCAUCCAUAUCAGCUCUCAGGGCGACGAAUGGCGGUUCUCCGGUGCCGAUAUAUCCGAUAACACCGGUGAUAGCUACAGGAUACCUAUACUUGAUUCCGAUAAGUUCCAGCUCCGACCUAAUGAGUUUACUGGUCUCGAGUUCUUCGUAACCAAGCUCCGGAUUCUCGUGGAUUUUCCUUCUG